UGCUGCAAGAGAACAGCAUACAGCAGCGUAUAAAGUGCAGUGAGCAAUCUGAAUACAAAAGAUGGGAAGGGAGGAGGGAAAGGAAAGUGGGGAGUGGGGCAAUGUUCCUUCAAUGCACAUUUGGGCCUGAUCCAGGGGGCCUGAUCCAGGAAAUUCUUUUAUGCAAGUGACCUCAUUGAAGUUUACUCACUUGCAUAGGCAAAGUUUUUGCAGGACGUAAUUCCUAUACUGGACUUAAUUGAAUGCACUUUAAUACAGGCUGACACAAUUGAGAGCCCACUCCAUCAUCUUUGUAUUUGAGAAAAAGAGCACAAGAAGGAAAAAAGAAAAACUCAGGAUCCAUUCAACAAUGCCCCUUGAAAGUAGCAAAACUUUAGACUGGGAUAGACAUGUGCAGCAGUUCACUGCUCCUGAGAGGUGUACAUGCAUUCCCCACUUCCAGGAGCCACGGGGGCAAACCUGAACAAGUAACUUGAGGGAGAAAAAAGAAAAAAAAAAGAAGGGAGAGAAUACGGUCAUUAGGAGAGAAGAUGGAGGCAGCUCUUCUGAGCAUCCUGUCUGCUGCCAUCAUGUCAGAGAUAUCACAUUUUACUGCUGACACCAGCAGGUGCAUGCAAUUAGGUGACAGCAAAAUGAACUACACCUUCCUUGCUACUGUUUCCAGCACACCUCACUGUUGGGAAAUACAAGAGAACGGAAUAUAGGCAUUUGCCACUGAAUGAUUCCUUGAACUUGCAUGAAAAAUGUCAAUUUGAGUCGCUCAAUUUUAAUAGAAUAUGGGAGGUAAAUAUAAAGAUACAAGUAUCUAGUGAAGCCAUAAGCAGAGAGAGGUAGUUAGCUGUGUGAGUCUCAGGUCAGGCAGAAGGGAGGACAGAGCUACACCUCACAGACUAACCAGUUCAGUGAAACCAUAGAGUACUGGGACUAUUCAGCAGUCCGGUUCUGAGUAUUCUGAAGCAAAAUUUCCAUAUUUACCCAAAUACAAGGAGAAACUGAUUUAAGACAACCCCCCACCCCCAAUAAUUCUAUUGUAGACAUGGAAAAUUAUAAAUUUGUUAUAAUUGUCCAUGUCCAGAAUCUAAUUAGUGGAAGGUUAUCUUAAACUCAUCCAUCCAUGGCUGUGGUGGGGAAAGCAUCAGCAGUGGGUGGGG